rnacentral:rRNA from 1 species
AAUGAACGCUGACGGCAUGCCUAACACAUGCAAGUCGAACGAAGGCUUCGGCCUUAGUGGCGCACGGGUGCGUAACGCGUGGGAAUCUGCCCUUGGGUUCGGAAUAACAGUCAGAAAUGACUGCUAAUACCGGAUGAUGUCGUGAGACCAAAGAUUUAUCGCCCAAGGAUGAGCCCGCGUAGGAUUAGCUAGUUGGUGGGGUAAAGGCCCACCAAGGCGACGAUCCUUAGCUGGUCUGAGAGGAUGAUCAGCCACACUGGGACUGAGACACGGCCCAGACUCCUACGGGAGGCAGCAGUGGGGAAUAUUGGACAAUGGGCGAAAGCCUGAUCCAGCAAUGCCGCGUGAGUGAUGAAGGCCUUAGGGUUGUAAAGCUCUUUUACCCGGGAUGAUAAUGACAGUACCGGGAGAAUAAGCUCCGGCUAACUUCGUGCCAGCCGCCGCAGUAAUAC